rnacentral:rRNA from 1 species
ACGGAAGGCAGCAGUGGGGAAUAUUGGACAAUGGGGGGAACCCUGAUCCAGCGACGCCGCGUGAGUGAAGAAGUAUUUCGGUAUGUAAAGCUCUAUCAGCAGGGAAGAAAAUGACGGUACCUGACUAAGAAGCCCCGGCUAACUACGUGCCAGCAGCCGCGGUAAUACGUAGGGGGCAAGCGUUAUCCGGAUUUACUGGGUGUAAAGGGAGCGUAGACGGCAAUGCAAGUCUGAAGUGAAAUCCCGCGGCUCAACUGCGGAGCUGCUUUGGAAACUGCAUAGCUGGAGUGUCGGAGAGGUGAGUGGAAUUCCCAGUGUAGCGGUGAAAUGCGUAGAUAUUAGGAGGAACACCAGUGGCGAAGGCGAUCUACUGGACGAUAACUGACGCUGAGGCGCGAAAGCGUGGGGAGCAAACAGGAUUAGAUACCCUGGUA